UAGGGAAUAUUGCUCAAUGGGGGAAACCCUGAAGCAGCAACGCCGCGUGGAGGAUGACACUUUUCGGAGCGUAAACUCCUUUUGUUAGGGAAGAACAAUGACGGUACCUAACGAAUAAGCACCGGCUAACUCCGUGCCAGCAGCCGCGGUAAUACGGAGGGUGCAAGCGUUACUCGGAAUCACUGGGCGUAAAGGACGCGUAGGCGGAUUAUCAAGUCUCUUGUGAAAUCCUAUGGCUUAACCAUGGAACUGCUUGGGAAACUGAUAAUCUAGAGUGAGGGAGAGGCAGAUGGAAUUGGUGGUGUAGGGGUAAAAUCCGUAGAGAUCACCAGGAAUACCCAUUGCGAAGGCGAUCUGCUGGAACUCAACUGACGCUAAUGCGUGAAAGCGUGGGGAGCAAACA
rnacentral:rRNA from 1 species